rfam:Dialister invisus CAG:218 genomic scaffold, scf43
UACAUGGAGGAAAUGCCAUGGCGGUGGAUGUACGUCCAUCGAGCCGGUUUGAUGAUUAUUUCCCUGAUUAUCAAUUCGGCUGCGGAUGAUCAUACUCCUCAAU